GCCUCGCCCCUUCUCACACCUCGGAUGCUCCCUUCUCCGCCUAUGUGACUCUGAAGUCCCCGUGUCCCAACGUAAACGCCAUGUGCUCCCCCAAGAAACUUCCGGGGACCCCACUCCUGUGCCACCUCCUUUCUCCACACCCAGAAACUUGCCCUGUGUCCAUGAGGAUGGCACUGGGAUGCAGAGAACAGAAGAAAACCUGACUUACAGCCACUUCGAUGACAAGGCGGAGUGGGAGAAAUGCCUUAUGGUGCCCAAGAAUAGAGAUGAGAGAAGACAGAAGAAAGAGAAUAUGAAAAGGCACAACCUGCCUGUCCUCUGGACUCACUAAGUAUGGCUGCAGGAGUCUGGAGGAAACACCACCCAGGGAUAACCAUCAGUCCUUCACUUGGGCCUGAGAAGUGAAUUUCUGUCAUCAAAGGGCCAGAUCUUCACCCUCAGAUCUCAGAAUAAACUCUCUUUUGCAAAACUCAGCUCUUCGGUGAUCUGCAAACUGUGCUGAGAGCUUGGCCCGGUAACACUACCAUCCACUACCUCUGAUCCUCGCCUCUGUAGGGAUGGUACCACCGUAAGGGUCCCCAAAAUAUAUAAGGGCAUCCCUGGGAACAAAGCAAAGAGGCACGGCAGAGCACGGCUGUGAGAAGCACCUUCGCCUCCCACUGAAUGAAAAUCAGACCCAACUCAGCUCCCAGGUCACAAACUGAAUUCACUCUGGUGAACUUACAUCUUGCUCCCAACUUCCCCGCGCAGGAGAAGAAACCCAAGGCAAAGACCCACGUGUCCAGGUUCCUGAAGCUCAAUUUCGACAAACCAAGUACCAAGUCAAAUAAUGAUGGUGAUAAUAUUAUUAACAAAUGAAUUAAGAGAUGCUGCACAAAUGUCGUGUUAUUCUAAAUGAGAUCAAGGCAAGAAUUUAAGGCCCUUUUCCCUCCACAACACUCAGUGGACAACUUAAUAAAUUCAUAUCUGCUUGUUGGAUAUUAAAGAGUAAUUUCUCAUUCUGAUCCAGUUGCCUGGAAACCCCUGCCUCCGUUCACCUCUUUGAGCUGAAGAUAACUGGUAUGCUCUUUUAAAUCUCAGGUAUCAGCUGGGAAGGUAGAGGCAUAAAUCAUCGCCUUUCACUAAUCUCACAGGCGAAAGCAGUUCAUCAGUCAUUAAUUUUUCUCCCUUCUGCACUGACUUGGGACGUGUCUAGACUAGACAGAAUCGUAGCGGGUAGGGGACUAGGGGACACCUAUUCUGGCCUGUGUUUUCACCUGGAAAAUAUGACAAGAGGGAUUUGAUUAUCCCAAAAUCCUGAGAUCUACUGACCUCUGCUAUGGUCUGAAUGUACACACACACACACACACUCUCACACAUACACACACACACACACACACACACACACACACUCAUAUGCUAAAACGUAACCACUGUGUACGUAAGAAUUGGAGACUGUUUAGAGGUGAUUAAAUCAUGAGAAAGCAGGGUCUUCAUGAAUGGGCUUAGUGACCAUUUAAAAAGGGUACAUGAAUGAACCCAGAGGACAUUAAAUUAAAAGGAUACAUCAGGAAUAGAAAGACAAAUUAGGGAAAAGCAUUAAAAGUUGAACUUGGGCCAGCAAGGUGGCUCACUGGGUAAAGCACUUGCCACCGAGUCUGAUGACCUGAACUUGAUCGACAGGACCCACAAACCCAGGGACAGUUCCCACAAGUGUUCCUCUGACCUCCACACAGACAUCAUGGCACACUCACACAUACAUACAAACAUAGUUACAUAAUGCAUACAUACCUGUAACUUUAAUAGUCUUUAAAGUUGCUCUCUUAGAAGUGAAGAACAGAAUAAUGAGUA